CAAAAACAUCGCCUUCUGCCAAAAUCAAAAUAUAGGAGGUCUUACCUGCCCAGUGACAUCUUGUUAAACGGCCGCGGUAUCCUGACCGUGCUAAGGUAGCGCAAUCACUUGUCUUUUAAAUGGAGACCUGUAUGAAUGGUGAAACGAGGGCUCAACUGUCUCCCUUUUCAGGUCAAUGAAAUUGAUCUGCCCGUGCAGAAGCGGGCAUAAUUAUACAAGACGAGAAGACCCUUUGGAGCUUUAGGAAUAAAGUUAACUGUUUUAUAAACCCAGACAAAACAAGUUAAACAAAACAGCAACCACUAACUUUUAGACCUUCGGUUGGGGCGACCGUGGGGGAAAAUAAAGCCCCCAUGCGGAUUGAGAGAAAUCUUAAAACUAAGAGGGACACCUCUAAGUAACAGAAUAUCUGACCAACAGAUCCGGCAAUCAAGCCGAUUAACGAACAAAGUUACCCUAGGGAUAACAGCGCAAUCCCCUUCAAGAGUUCUUAUCGACAAGGGGGUUUACGACCUCGAUGUUGGAUCAGGACAUCCUAUUGGUGCAGCCGCUAUUAAGGGUUCGUUUGUUCAACGAUUAAAGUCCUACGUGAUCU
rnacentral:rRNA from 1 species